rnacentral:rRNA from 1 species
AGUGAACGCUGGCGGUAGGCCUAACACAUGCAAGUCGAACGGCAGCACAGUAAGAGCUUGCUCUUACGGGUGGCGAGUGGCGGACGGGUGAGGAAUACAUCGGAAUCUACUUUUUCGUGGGGGAUAACGUAGGGAAACUUACGCUAAUACCGCAUACGACCUACGGGUGAAAGCAGGGGAUCUUCGGACCUUGCGCGAUUGAAUGAGCCGAUGUCGGAUUAGCUAGUUGGCGGGGUAAAGGCCCACCAAGGCGACGAUCCGUAGCUGGUCUGAGAGGAUGAUCGGCCACACUGGACCUGAGACACGUCCAGACUCCUACGGGAGGCAGCAGUGGGGAAUAUUGGACAAUGGGCGCAAGCCUGAUCCAGCCAUACCGCGUGGGUGAAGAAGGCCUUCGGGUUGUAAAGCCCUUUUGUUGGGAAAGAAAAGCAGCAGGUUAAUACCCCGCUGUUCUGACGGUACCCAAAGAAUAAGCACCGGCUAACUUCGUG